rnacentral:pre_miRNA from 1 species
AAUAAUUUAAUGCCAUUUCAGCAUUUUCAUCCUAAAUUUUAGCAUUUUCAUAAUGAAAAAAAUUAAAUCCAACAUAAUGUGCUGAAAUUUAGGAUGAAAAUACUAAAAUGACAUUAAAUUAUU